rnacentral:rRNA from 1 species
GGAAGGAUCAUUAUUGAGUAAACCUGAUGUGGCUGUUAGCUGGCUUAGGCAUGUGCUCGUCCAUCAUCUUUAUAUAUCUCCACCUGUGCACAUUUUGUAGACUUGGAUAAUGGCUCUGUCAUUUACAAGACUAUGUUUUCAAUAUACCCAAAGCAUGUUUAAAGAAUGUCAUCAAUAGGAACUUGUUUCCUAUUAGAAACUAUACAACUUUCAGCAACGGAUCUCUUGGCUCUCGCAUCGAUGAAGAACGCAGCGAAAUGCGUUAAGUAAUGUGAAUUGCAGAAUUCAGUGAAUCAUCGAAUCUUUGAACGCACCUUGCGCUCCUUGGUAUUCCGAGGAGCAUGCCUGUUUGAGUGUCAUUAAAUUCUCAACCAUCCAUUAAUUUGGUUUGGCUUGGAUGUGGGGGUUGCAGGCUUCAUUUGACUAUGAGGUCAGCUCUCCUUAAAUGCAUUAGUGGAACUUUUGUUGACCAUCUAUUGGUGUGAUAUCUAUCUACACUGUGGAUGGGUUAGCGGUGUUCAGCUUCUAACCGUCUAUUAUUGACUUACUUUUGACCAUUUGACCUCAAAUCAGGUAGGACUACCCGCUGAACUUAAGCAUAUCAAUAAGCGGAGGAAAAGAAACUAACAAGGAUUCCCCUAGUAACUGCGAGUGAAGCGGGAAAAGCUCAAAUUUAAAAUCUGGCAGUCUUUGGCUGUCCGAGUUGUAAUCUAGAGAAGCAUUAUCCGCGCUGGACCGUGUACAAGUCUCCUGGGAUGGAGCGUCAUAGAGGGUGAGAAUCCCGUCUUUGACACGGACUGCUAGGGCUUUGUGAUGUGCUCUCAAAGAGUCGAGUUGUUUGGGAAUGCAGCUCAAAAUGGGUGGUAAAUUCCAUCUAAAGCUAAAUAUUGGCGAGAGAC